CCUGAGUCUGUGCAGUGACCAGCCAGUCCCUGAGAACUUUCACCUCCAGCACCCGGGAAAAUGAGGCUUUGGCUCCACUUAGUUUUCAUUUUUGCAGCUUUGGAAGGUGCCCGGUCCCAGGGGUUGGUGGAGUCCGGAGGGGAUGUGAAAAAGCCCGGAGACUCUCUCCGCCUCUCCUGCAAAGCCUCCGGCUUCACCUUCAGCAGCUACAAUAUACACUGGGUCCGGCAGGCUCCCGGGCAGGGACUGGAGUGGGUGUCAUUCAUCGGCAACAGAGGGCGAAAUAUCUACUAUUCUGAUGCAGUGAAAGGCCGAUUCACCAUCUCCAGGGACAACUCCAACAACCUGCUGUAUCUGCAACUGACUGGCCUGAAGCCCGAGGACACCGCCCGGUAUCACUGUGUGGGGGAAGCACAGAGAGGGGAAGCCGGCUGAGCUAAGACAGAAACCUCUCCCUGCAAUAAUUAGUGAAGCGGGUUAGAGGCGCCCAAGAUCUGUAAGUGAAAAUGAGAUCAGUUAUGGGAAGAGGUCUAGCAACAACAACUCCUUUUUAUUCUUAUUAUUCCUCCUGUUUUGAUUUUACUGAAGAUCAAAGAGUUUACACAAAUUCCCACAAAGGAGAAAAAAAUUAUUUGGGGUCCUUCCUCUUUCUUUCCUCUGCCAGGGGCAAAUUCUGAGCCCACUCACAGUGUCCUGGACAGUCACUGAUGCAGAGACAUAAAGGCCAGAAUGGAGCAGGAUGAGAAACUAGUCUGAGCUCCUGCAUAACACAGGCCAUGGAGCCUCAACCUGGUUCAUUCCGGUUCCCUCUAGGACCCUCUUCACUUCACCGUGCUGGGAUUCUGCUCAGUGUCACCCUGUCAGUGACACAUUCCAGCAGAAAGACACUGAUCUCUAAGCUUUUGGCACUAGAAUGCACAAUUUGUUUGUUUUCUUGCUUUGUUUUUUGUUUCUUUGUCUGUUUAUUUGAAUAAUGUUUCCACCAAUGCAGG